rnacentral:rRNA from 1 species
UGGGGAAUAUUGGACAAUGGGCGAAAGCCUGAUCCAGCAAUGCCGCGUGGGUGAAGAAGGUCUUCGGAUUGUAAAGCCCUUUCGGCGGGGACGAUGAUGACGGUACCCGCAGAAGAAGCCCCGGCUAACUUCGUGCCAGCAGCCGCGGUAAUACGAAGGGGGCUAGCGUUGCUCGGAAUGACUGGGCGUAAAGGGCGCGUAGGCGGCUCAUAGAGUCGGGCGUGAAAUUCCUGGGCUUAACCUGGGGGCUGCGUUCGAUACCUAUGGACUGGAGUGAGGAAGAGGGUCGUGGAAUUCCCAGUGUAGAGGUGAAAUUCGUAGAUAUUGGGAAGAACACCAGUGGCGUAGGCGGCGACCUGGUCCUUUACUGACGCUGAGGCGCGAAAGCGUGGGGAGCAAACAG